rnacentral:rRNA from 1 species
UACGUAGGGUGCGAGCGUUAAUCGGAAUUACUGGGCGUAAAGUGUGCGCAGGCGGCAGAGCAAGUCGAGUGUGAAAGCCCCGGGCUUAACUUGGGAAUUGCGCUCGAAACUACUUUGCUGGAGUGUGGCAGAGGAAGGUGGAAUUCCACGUGUAGCGGUGAAAUGCGUAGAGAUCGGGAGGAACACCAGCGGCGAAGGCGGCGACCUGGACAAGUACUGACACUCAACUACGAAAGCGUGGGGAGCAAACAGG